GAGAAUAGAAAGUGAAUAUUUUCAAUUUGGCACUGAAGUGUCCUCCCCUCCUUUAUAAGAGGUGCAUGAGUGAAAGAAAUAUGACAUUUUGCUGUUAAGGAUAGUGAUCAUACAUCUUUUGCCGGUAAGGAUCCAGGCUACAGACCUUAUUGACACAAGACACUCCUGACCAAAGAAUUUGCUUCACUGGAGAGCUAAUCUUCAUAUCACCUGCCACACCGUACCUUUUUACCAUUAUGCAGGCUAUCUUGGAGCUCUUCCUCGUCUCUGUUUUUCUAACAGCAGGUACGGCUUUAGAAUGUGAAUAUUGCAUUGGUGUUGGCAUGACUUGUACUGGCAAGAAAGUGCCAUGUGAUGCUAGUGCUGAUACCUGUGCCACCAUGGUUACAGAAAUCACAAAAGGAAAUGGAUCAUUUGGCAAAUCAGUUGUAAAAAGCUGCAUGCCAAAAUCUGUCUGUACGACUGGACUGCCUGAUGUUCAGAUACCAGAUAUUGUUAUCGUUACAAGCGUUGAAUGUCAUAACAAUGCCCCACCAGCAGCAGUUUCCUUCUUUGUGUCUCUCUCUGGGCUCUUGCUGAUAAAGAUGCUCCUGUAGCAAACCAUUCCCAGCUACUCAGCACUGAAGAUGACUUCCAUGUCUUUAACUUGCCACAUAUUUCCCAGAGAGCACUGUCCUCACCUUUGAUUUCUUAAGUCAAAAUGUAUCAAAUAAACACAAAUGGAGAAAAAAAAUCAAA